GUAAUACCGUAUAAACCCACAGGUACUGUAGUACUGUAAUACCGUAUAACACCACAGGUACUGUAAUACUGUAUAACACUAACACCACAGGUACUGUAAUACUGUAUAACACUAUAACACCACAGGUACUGCAAUACCGUAUAACACCACAGGUACUGUAAUACUGUAUUACACUAUAACACCACAGGUACUGUAAUACUCUAUCACUAUAACACCAAAGGUACUGUAAUACUGUAUAACACUAUAACACCACAGGUACUGUAAUACUGUAUAACACUAACACCACAGGUACUGUAAUACUGUAUAACACUAUAACACCACAGGUACUGUAAUACUGUAUAACACUAACACCACAGGUACUGUAAUACUGUAUAACACUAACACCACAGGUACUGUAAUACUGUAUAACACUAUAACACCACAGGUACAGUAAUACUGUAUAAUAAUAUAACACCACAGGUACUGUAAUACUAUAUAACACUAUAACACCACAGGUACUGUAAUACUGUAUAACACUAUAACACCACAGGUACUGUAAUACUGUAUAACACUAUAACACCACAGGUACUGUAAUACCGUAUAACACCAAAGGUACUGUAGUACUGUAAUACCGUAUAACACCACAGGUACUGUAAUACUGUAUAACACUAACACCACAGGUACUGUAAUACUGUAUAACACUAUAACACCACAGGUACUGUAAUACUGUAUAACACUAUAACACCACAGGUACUGUAAUACACUAACACCACAGGUACUGUAAUACUGUAUAACACUAUAACACCACAGGUACUGUAAUACUGUAUAACACUAUAACACCACAGGUACUGUAAUACUGUAUAACACUAUAACACCACAGGUACUGUAAUACUGUAUAACACUAUAACACCACAGGUACUGUAAUACCGUAUAACACCAAAGGUACUGUAGUACUGUAAUACCGUAUAACACCACAGGUACUGUAAUACUGUAUAACACUAACACCACAGGUACUGUAGUACUGUAUAACACUAACACCACAGGUACUGUAAUACUGUAUAACACUAUAACACCACAGGUACUGUAUACCGUAUAACACCACAGGUACUGUAAUAGUGUAUAACACUAACACCACAGGUACUGUAAUAGUGUAUAACACUAACACCACAGGUACUGUAAUACUGUAUUACACUAUAACACCACAGGUACUGUAAUACUCUAUAACACUAUAACACCACAGGUACUGCAAUACCGUAUAACACCACAGGUACUGUAGUACUGUAUAACACUAACACCACAGGUACUGUAAUACUGUAUAACACUAUAACACCACAGGUACUGUAUACCGUAUAACACCACAGGUACUGUAAUAGUGUAUAACACUAACACCACAGGUACUGUAAUAGUGUAUAACACUAACACCACAGGUACUGUAAUACUGUAUUACACUAUAACACCACAGGUACUGUAAUACUCUAUAACACUAUAACACCACAGGUACUGCAAUACCGUAUAACACCACAGGUACUGUAAUACUGUAUAACACUAUAACACCACAGGUACUGUAGUACCGUGUAAAACUAACACCACAGGUACUGUAAUACUGUAUUACACUAUAACACCACAGGUACUGUAAUACUCUAUAACACUAUAACACCACAGGUACUGUAAUACUGUAUAACACUAUAACACCACAGGUACUGUAAUACCGUAUAACACCACAGGUACUGUAGUACUGUAAUACCGUAUAACACCACAGGUACUGUAAUACUGUAUAACACUAACACCACAGGUACUGUAAUACUGUAUAACACG
rnacentral:lncRNA from 1 species